rnacentral:lncRNA from 1 species
GGCCUUGCUCUUAUGUCAUCUGACUAAAAGUUUCAUAGACCAAAGAUAACCAUCCAACCUGUUGGAAUACUGAAACAAUUGCUGCCUGCUUUCCACACACUACAUAAAAUAUGUGGAUAUCCUAAAUUCUACAAAAAAAGAUUUGUAAGCAGAUCAAGCAAUACUGGGACUCCCUCUUCUCCAGAAGAGACAUCCUGGCCUCCAUGCAGAGGAAUGUGUGGAUGGACAUAUAUUUAAGGAAGACACUAAACCAGAAAAUACUACAUUACACCCUCUUAAAAGACUUCUAAGAUUGUUGUCAUGCCUACCACUGACAUUCAGAUGAUGUGUAUUCUUGAUUGUGAUUUCAUGUUUGGAGCUGAUGAAGGAGUUUGAAGUCUCCAGAGCAGCAAGGAGAGUGGGGAGUAGAACUCAUCAUCUUUAGGUCACUCAUC